rnacentral:rRNA from 1 species
CCUACGGGAGGCAGCAGUGGGGAAUAUUGCACAAUGGGCGGAAGCCUGAUGCAGCGACGCCGCGUGAGGGAUGAAGGCCUUCGGGUUGUAAACCUCUUUCAGCAGGGACGAAGCGUGAGUGACGGUACCUGCAGAAGAAGCACCGGCUAACUACGUGCCAGCAGCCGCGGUAAUACGUAGGGUGCGAGCGUUUUCCGGAAUUACUGGGCGUAAAGAGUUCGUAGGCGGUUUGUCGCGUCGUUUGUGAAAACCCGGGGCUCAACUUCGGGCUUGCAGGCGAUACGGGCAGACUUGAGUGUUUCAGGGGAGACUGGAAUUCCUGGUGUAGCGGUGAAAUGCGCAGAUAUCAGGAGGAACCCCGGUGGCGAAGGCGGGUCUCUGGGAAACAACUGACGCUGAGGAACGAAAGCGUGGGUAGCAAACAGGAUUAGAUACCCUGGUAGUCCACCCCGUAAACGGUGGGCGCUAGGUGUGGGUUCCUUCCACGGGAUCUGUGCCGUAGCUAACGCAU